rnacentral:tRNA from 1 species
AGGGUGGGUUCAACCAACAAGAACUGCUAACUCUUGCAUCUGAGUAUAAAACCUCAGCCCCCUU